GAUCCCACCACCUUAAGAUCACCAUGCGAGCCAAAAUCAAGAUUUGGAUACUUAACCAACUGAGUCACUGAGCCACCCAGGUGUCUCACCCCUCCACCACUCCCUCACCCACCCACCCCCGGUGAAUUUUUCCCCCAGUGAAUUUUUAUUUAUUUAUUUUUAAAGAUUUAUUUAUUUAUGAUAGAGAGAGGCAGGCUCCAUGCCGGGAGCCCAACGUGGGACUCCAUCCCGGGACUCCAGGAUUGCGCCCUGGGCCAAAGGCAGGCGCUAAACCGCUGAGCCACCCAGGGAUCCCCUUAUUUUUAUUUUUUUAAACAAAUUUGGUUUUUUUGGUUUUUAAGAUUUUAUUUAUUUAUUCAUGAGAGACAGGCAGAGGCAGAGGCACAGGCAGAAGGAGAAGCUGGCUCCAUGCAGGGAGCCCGAUGUGGGACUCGAUCCUGGGUCUCCAGGAUCACACCCCAGGCUGCAGGCAGCUCUAAACUGCUGUGCCACGGGGGGCUGCCCCUCCCCCCCAGUGAAUUUUUAAAUAACUUCUCUGCUGAUAGUAUGUUAAUGCUAAUUUUGUGCUAGGUUUUUCUGAUUAUUUUAUAAAUCUAAUGUAACUCACAAAGGGAUUUUUUUAGUGGCCUUGUCAUUUGCCUAGUACUGGAGUGCUUAACUUACCAGGUUCUAUGCUAAGCCCUUUACAUGUUAACUUCUUUUAACACUUUGAACAACUGUGUAGCAGAUGGUGUUUGCUCUUUUCAGAUGGGUAGGUCCCACAGUUUUUGAGCACAAUUUUAAAGUUGCAUGGUUUUUAAGCAGCUGGAAUUUAGAUUCGAGUCUGUCCAAGAACCCUUUGUUCUUGACUAGUAUAUUGAUUCUGGUGUUCAUUCUGAAGAAUGAAGAGGCUAUAGGAGAUACAUCAUUUUUCUAGAGAAAAGAGUGGGAGAACUUAGCCUUAUGAGAUACCAAACAUUGUAAAAUAGUAAUAUAUAAGAAGAAAUUAUCUUGGUACUCAUGCAAUUUUCAGCCACAUUUAAUUUUUGAUCAAUAAUUUUGUAAUAGUGCUCAUUGCUAGGAAAGUAGAAAACUAUAGUGUAGGCUAAUGGGAAGGAAAAUGAAAACUUUAUUUUGUGAAGUUAUUUCAAAAGCCUUAAAAUUUUUUCUGCCUUAGGUCCAGGAUUCCAUUUGAGAGUCCCAAGGGAAAAAAAGUUGACAGAUAUUUGUCAUAAAGAUUUUCAUACUGUUAAUUUCUUUUUUUUUUUUUUUUUUUUAAGAUUUUAUUUAUUCACAAGACAGAGAGAGAGUCAGAGACAGGCAGAGGGAGAAGCAGGCUCCAUGCAGGGAGCCCGAUGUGGGACUCAACUCCUGGGUCUCCAGGAUCACGCCAUGGGCUGAAAGCGGCGCUAAACUGCUGAGCCACCCAGGGAUCCCUAUAAUGUUAAUUUCUUAAUUGAAAGAAAACCCGUACAUUCUUAAUUAGAGGAAUGGUUAAGUAAAUUACUUGAAGAAUAGAUCUGGAGUUCUGUAAAGUUCAGUACUUAAUUGUCUUGACAUAAAAACAUCACUUUCAUUUGCUUCAACUUACUAUUUCUAUGCAUUUUUAAAAGGAAAUAUUUUCAAAGCUGUACUUUAAAAAUUGGCUAAAGGAAAAAAGUAUUAACAUAAGUACUAUCACUUCAGCUACAUUGUCUCUGAAAAUGACAUUGGUGAGUGUAGGCACAAGAGUUAUUUUCCUUAAGUAUUCGGUUAGUAAAACUUAAGGCUUCCUAGGAAAGUUUCAGAGACUCAAAACCUCUGGGCGCAUGGUGUGCUGGUAAAUGUUAAAUGAUUUGUAGCAUUUGCUGAUUCCUCUACAAUGGCAAUUUCAAACUACUAACGUGCUGUCAACUAGCUCACAAGAUUUCUGAAACUUUGACAUUCGGCUCUUUUACACUGGUAUUGCACAGCCUAACCAUCUCCCUACCUCCCCCAGAAGAAAAGCUCUUUUCUCUUCUUGCUUGAAGAUUAACAGCUCAUUGUUUAUACCUGGGUUGGUCAAGUUGGCUCCUUAUGUGGUCCUGCAGAAUGAAGCUGCAGAGUUGGAGGUAGGUUUGGUGUGGUUAAUUAAUGCAGGUUCUGGGAGUCAAGGGGUGGAUUAUGGAAACAAGCAGAUACUUUGCUUCAAGUGGUUGAAAAGGUCUAAAUUUGUAAGCUUUCUGGCCAGCGCUCAUUUCCUCAUUUCCUGUACAGAAUUUCCUCAAAAUCAUUUGUUCAGAGGCAACCUAUACUCUCAUCCUCUUAAUGCUCUACUUUCCAACUUUUCCUACUCUGCUACCUCUGGCUGCCUGGUUUUAGCAACAGAGAAACGACCCCUUUCACUUCAGUUAAGUUGAGAGUGUACCAAGGUCUAUAUGACAUGUCUCUUGAAGUACAGAAUGAUGACAAAAAUUUUGCAGUAUUUGGAAGUUGUGUUUGAAUAUGAUUAUUUUUUAUUAAAUGUUAGGAGUUACAUUCCUGAAGAAUUGGGAGAAUGCCAUCUGAGCAUUGGCAUUGGGGAUCCAUGGAUGAAUGACAAACACCCACAGAAUGUGGACCUUUUAAAUAGUACUUUCUGGGGAUAAGUUGUUUCAAGUGAUAACUAAAUUACCUGACUUGGUGUAGAGAAUUAUAUUUAUGUCAGUGGUGGAAAAUAUUUUGUAGUUCAAGUUAAUAUACCAGAAUAACUGAUUCUGAGUAAUUUUAUUGUAAUUUUUUUCCUGUAGAUUUUAAACCUUAUUUUUUCUAAAAUUUCAUUUUUAAUUCUUUGAACAUGCUUGAAUUGUUAACAUUUGGGUAUUAUAAACAGCUUUAGUGACAUGUAAUUAACAUAUACAAUUUACCCACUUAAAGCAUGCAAAUUCAAUGGCUUUUAGUAUAUUUAUACGGUUGUGCAUCCAUUCCCACAUUUCAUUAUCCCCCAAAAGAAAUCCAUCCCCUUAGCUAUCAAACUCCAAUCUCCCCUUAUUUGCCUCUAACCCUUGACAACCACCAAUCUACUUUUUGUUGAUUUAAAUUUGCCUAUCCUAGACAUUUUGUAUAAAUGGAAACAAUAUGUGGUCCUUUGGGACUGACUGCUUUGACUUAGCAUUAUAUUUUCUUUCUUUUUUUUUUUUUAAGAUUUUAUUUAUUUAUUCAUGAGAGACACAGAGAGAGAGAGAGAGAGGCAGACACACAGGCAGAGAGAGAAGCAGGCUCCAUGCUGGGAGCCCGAUGUGGGACUCAAUCCUGGGUCUCCAGGAUCAGGCCCUGGGCUGCAGGCGGCGCUAAACCGCUGAGCCACCUGGGCUGCCCAGCAUUAUAUUUUCAAGGUUAAUCAAAGUUGUAGCAUGUGUCAAUACUCCAUUUAUUUUUUUCCCUGCCCCAGUACUUCCCAUGGUACAAAUAUGCCACAUUUUCUUUGUCAGUUGACAAACAUUUUGGUUAUAUCUGUUUUUGGCUGUUAUGAGUAAUAACUACUGUGGAUAUUCAUGUACAAGUUUCUGUGAACAUGUUUGCAGCUUUCUUGUGUAUACACCUAAGAGUGGAAUUACUGGAUUAUGUGAUGACUAUGUUUAAGAUUUUGAGAAACUGCUAGACUAUUUUCAAAGUGGUUAUAACAUUUGAUGUUUCCAUCAACAGUGUAUAAAAUGUAUAAAGGUUCCAAUUUUCACAGCAUCACCAACAAUUAUUAUCUUUGAAUAAUACUUUUAAUUAUUUUAAAUAUUAAUAUUUUUAUUCUGUGUUGCCAUAACAGUAGGAAGCACAAUAUUCAUAUUGUGCCAAAUUAAAGAUACUAAACU
rnacentral:lncRNA from 1 species